UGAGGCUAUAGCUCAGUUGGUAGAGUGCUUGCCUUGCAUGCACAAGGCCCUGGGUUCAAUCCCCAGUACCAUAA
rnacentral:tRNA from 1 species